CUGCAAACUCUUGGGGUAGAGACAGUACAUCAUGGUUUCAACACGUUCCACGAUCUAAAAAGGUCCCACAUAACAGGGGCUCAACUUUUUCUUCGUAUCGAAUCAUGUUUUUUUCCUGUAAAGGAAGAUCUUAAGGAAUAUGUAACACUCCAUCCAUUAUUGUGCUUAAUUUACUUGAAAAACUCUAUUUAUUCGAGCCUUUAGACCAUCUUGAACUCAUUUAAUUUACUCUGCGAAUUAUUAUCGUAAUUUAUGAAUUAU
rnacentral:lncRNA from 1 species